GAUGAGAUCAAGGCCUAGAUUAUGAUGCGAUGGAUAUUUAAAUUUUUGGUGGAGAACUUUGAUUUAUAGUUAAACCCUAGAAUUUACCAUCAAUGUUGAUUUCUACUAGGACAAGGCUAUCAAGAGGUUCCUCGUGAGGAACAUUGUGGAGUAGGCUGCUGUGAGGGAUGUGCAGGAGGCCUGUGUCUAUGAUGGGUGAGGUCCCGCACUAACAGGAGAAACCGUGAGCCUCCUCAGCUCUUCAGACGCAGGGAGGAGGGCAUGCAUCUGGAGAAUGUAUACUACUCUGAAAUGAAGGAUGCCGGUUUCUUUGAUUAUGAUUGGGAAUAAUACUGCUUUGUCUCUAAUUCUGUUAACAUCUGUAAAUUUACCUUUCUCAUGGCAUUUGCGAACUCUUUCAUUGUAUAAAUCCUUGACGUGUGAAAAUUAGUUAUUGUCUAUGUAAAUAAUUUAUGUUUCACUCUA